AUGUCUUGUUACCCACAACAUCUGACCGAGCUGGUGUCCACGGAGAUCCUCCUCCGGCUCCCCGUGAAUUCGCUGCUGCGGUUCAGGUGUGUUUGCAAGGCAUGGCGCGACACCAUUGACAAUGAUUUCUUUGUCCGCGCACACCUCCGCCUCCGCGCCGCCCAGAACACGUUCACGCUCAUCGCCCCACAUGUUAAGGGGGAUGGCGGGAUCACCGCCGCCGGCUUGUAUAGGUGGGAGCAGGGCGUCAAGGCCGACGGCGACGACAGGAAUACCGCCGCCGCCGCUGGCCUGUACCCGUGGGAGCAGGACACCGCCACCCUCGUACACCCCAUGGGCGCCGACUACUCCGUCCCGGGCACGACGAAUGUUUCCCACGACCUUGCGCACUGUGACGGGCUGGUGCUGGUGCCUUCCGACGCCAUGGGCCAUCAGGCUUUCGGCCUCGGCCAUGACCCUCGCUCCAAAGCUUACAAGGUUGCUCGCUUCUUCUACCGCUCCAUGGAAGGGCCCGUGGACAACCCUAACCACUACACCCUCGGGAUGGAGGUGCUCACCGUCGGAGCGGCGGACCAGCGUUGGCGAGAGACGGCAGCGCCUCCACCUUACCCUGUCUUGCCAGGCCGAACCGCCACCUUCUUCAAGGACUCGUUGCUUUGGACCGUCGAGGAGUUGCUACUCCGGGAAGCGCCGGGAUUCAUCCGCUUCAAGUUAGAAGACGAGUCGUUCGGUGUCCUGCCAGGGCCUCCUUGCAGCCCGAGCCUGGACUACGCGGCUGCGAGCUUAGCCGAGCUGCGUGGGGAGCUGUGCGUGUGCGUGCCUCGUCACGAGGCUGACUACGGCGACGGUUCGCACGAGACGUGGAUCUGCCGCGACUUGGACGACGCGCCACAAUGGGAGCCACGCCAUGUCAUCGAGAUACACACUUUUCCACGACUCCGAUGUCUACGUCCAAUAGCUGCCUACACUGACGUGCUAGUGCUCCAUGCCGAACCCUGCUAUCUCUGCCGUGAAACUCAAGAACCUGGGAGGAGCAAGGAAGAAGAAAGGGCUCCGCUUCACAUGCAGCUCCAGUUGAGGUAUUACCACCCUGACACGGGCGUGUUUGUUGAAUACCCAACGGAGACAUGUGCCUUUCAAGUAAUCUCAUACGUUCCAAGUUUAGUUCCCGUCUAG
rnacentral:rRNA from 1 species